rnacentral:lncRNA from 1 species
CAUGAUUAGUAAUAUGAUGAUGUCCUAUAACACUUGUAUUGGAGAUAGUAAUACAUGUAAUAGACAAGACAAUGAUGCCCAUUACGGUGAUACGAACUAUAAUAGUAGUACAGAUUUUUAUAAUGAUUCUGGUAAUGACUUUAGUAGUUAUAGUACUAAUGAAUGUGGUAAUGACUCGUUAAAUAUAAAAAAAGACAAUGGGCACAACAACAGAUGUAACAAAAAAGAAAAAGAAGAUAAUAUUUUUUAUACAAAAUAUUUUUUAGAUUCUUCUAUUUUUUCAAACAAUACUACAGUUAAUGAAAAUAUAUUCGAAAAUUCAAAUUUAAACACAACUGAUAAUAAUAGUACUAUAUAUAGCAGUGAUGGUAGUGAGAAUACUAACAAUAGUGGUAAUGGUUGUUAUGAAAACUUAAAAGAUAAAAGUAACUUAUAUAUUAAUUCAAAUUUUAAUGAUAAUGUAAUGUACAAAAAUGAAAACAUUUAUAAUCAUAAUAGUUUUACAUGUGACACAGACUUUGUAUGUGAUGUCGAGUUUGUAGGUAGCUCAGGUUUUAUGUGGGAUCCUAAUAUAUUAAAUAUUCCGAAUGAUACAAAAAAAGAAAAUAUAUAUAAUUUAAAUAAUAAAAAUAAAAAAGAAUGUAUGUUAUCGAUGACGAAAAAUAUAAUAAAAUACACAAAUAAUAAUAACAAUAAUAAUAAUAAUAACCAUAAUAAUAAUAAUAAUAACCAUAAUAAUAACAAUAAUAAUAACAAAAAUAAUAAUAACAAUAACAAUAAUAACAAUAAUAACAAUAAUAACAACAAUAAUAAUAAUAAUAAUAAUAAUAAUAAUAAUAAUAAUAGUAAUAAUAAUAAUAAUAAUAAUAGUAAUAACAAUAAUAAUAAUAAUAAUAACAACAAUAAUAACAAUAAUAACAAUAAUAACAAUAAUAAUAACAAUAAUAACAACAAUAAUAACAACAAUAAUAACAACAAUAAUAAUAAUAAUAAUAAUAGUGGCAUAAUUUUAAUCGAAAGUGAUGUUGAUACAUAUGAUUCGAAUGUGUACUGUGAUAAAACAAGUAUAAAUUAUAAAUGUGAUAGUAAUACAAACAGCAUGAAAUUUCUUCAACACUCGAGUGAAUUUCAAGAAAAUAAUACAAAAACGUUUUACUACACUGGUCUAAAAUGUGAUGAUAUGACUCGUAUUGACAUACGAAGUUGUAAUGAUGUAGUUAACUGUAAUGGUAUAUGCUACUUAUACGAAACAAAUACAAACAAUUGUAUAGACAAAAGUUUUUUUUAUUAUACACAAAAUAAAGAGAAUAACCAGUGCAACAGUAAUAUAAGUAGUAUGAACAAAAUAGAUAAUGAGUAUGCAAAGACUACAACAGACACGUGUAUUUAUAACAAUCAUAAUAAUCUGUUAAAUAAUAAAAAAACUAUGAAUCAGCCAGAGUCUACACAAUGCUAUAUAGAAAAAAGUAAUAAUAAUAAUAAUAAUAAUAAUAAUAAUAAUAAUAAUAAUAAUAGUAGUAGUGUAAGUUUAGAUGAAAAUAAUUAUUAUACAAAUAUACAUAAUACUUGUGAUACAGUUGAUGAUAAAUCAAAUAUUAUUUAUGAUAGUUUAAUAGAUAUAGGUAAUGGUGAUACUUAUAACUAUGUAAAUAAAAAUAAAAAUGGUUGUUUUAUUUGGGAUGAUAAAAAUGAACUAAACAAUAACACAUCUAAGUCUACAUUAGUAAAUGAAAAUACAAUAAAUGAAUUACAAAGUAUUAUAACUAAUUUGAAAUUAAGAAAUCAAUCAUUAGAAAAAGAACUAAAUGAAAUAAAAAAUAAGAAUUUAAAACGGAAGCAGAAAAUAAUAUUAAGUAAUUUAAGCUUAAAUUAUAAUAGUAGUAAUGUAGUAAAUUCGUUACAUGAUGAUGAAAAUGAUAAUUUGGAUUUAGAAAGUACAAAUGGGGAUACUAACAUAAAACGCGAUAAUGUAAAACAGGAUAGUGAUGGUACUGGUUGUAACGAUAGUGGUGAUAGUGUUGAUAGUGGUAGUGGUAAUAACAUCAGUAGUGGUUGCAGUAGUAGUAUUAGUAACAGUAGAAGUAGCAUUAUUAAUAAUUGUUCAAAUGACAUUUUGUGUGAUAAAGACAAAAAAAUAUAUGAAACUGAUGGUAUUGCAACUGGCACUGCCAAUACAAAUAAAACAGCUCACAUUAAUAAAUUUCAUUUGACAUAUACUAAUAAUUUAAUUGGUAAACUAAAAAUAGCAGCUCAAAGAGAUAUAAGUGGUUCUUUUAUGGGUCCAAAAGGUAUACAUGUGAAAGCAAUUAAAUCAGCAUUAGGCAUUUCAGUAUAUAAGAGUGCCAAAGAUGUAUGGUUCCCUGGAUUUGCCGAUAGUCAUGUUUUUUUAUUAAAAGGGAGUAUCAUGGGUAUAUUAAGAGCAUCUCAAUUAUUAUACCAUUAUGUGAAAUCUAAAAUGUCUUCAUCGAAAUGUUGUAUAUAUAUAGUUGCACCGUUUGAAUGCGUACAAAAGUUAUUAGCUGAUGGUUGUAAGAAAAUGGCAGCUAUAAAAAAAGAAUGUGGAGCUGAUGUAAGACUAGGAAACUUAUACGUUCAUGUACAUGAGAAAUUUACUGAACGUUUAAUGGAAAUACGAGGAACUGAGUUUAAUGUUGAUUGUGCUUUAGAAAAACUUGUGAUUUUUAUGCAGUCAUGUUAUUCAGUUCAGUCUUAUGAUUAUGACAUUUUAAAGUAUCCUUGUCGUUCUGUGUUGAAUUUGCAGUGAUUUGAUGUGAUGUGCUAGUGAGUACUGCAUGAUUAGGUAUGUGUGUGUGUGGAUACAAUUGGGCGUACCAUUUUGUAACGCAUUUUUAUAGCUUAUCUUAUGUUUUAUCUCACAUAUGUCUUAUCUUAGUCAUAUUUUAUAUAUAUAUAUAUAUAUAUCUGUUUUUUUUUUUUUUUUUUUUUUUUUUUUUUUUUUUUUUUUUUUUUAUUAAUAAGAAUAAAAAGUUGUACCGUAUAAUCGUCA